rnacentral:tRNA from 1 species
ACUAUUUUGGCAGAUUAGUGCAAUAGAUUUAGAAUUUAUAUAUGUGGUUUAUACACAAAUAGUA